AAAUUGAAGAGUUUGAUCAUGGCUCAGAUUGAACGCUGGCGGCAGGCCUAACACAUGCAAGUCGAACGGUAACAGGAAGCAGCUUGCUGCUUUGCUGACGAGUGGCGGACGGGUGAGUAAUGUCUGGGAAACUGCCUGAUGGAGGGGGAUAACUACUGGAAACGGUAGCUAAUACCGCAUAACGUCGCAAGACCAAAGAGGGGGACCUUCGGGCCUCUUGCCAUCGGAUGUGCCCAGAUGGGAUUAGCUAGUAGGUGGGGUAACGGCUCACCUAGGCGACGAUCCCUAGCUGGUCUGAGAGGAUGACCAGCCACACUGGAACUGAGACACGGUCCAGACUCCUACGGGAGGCAGCAGUGGGGAAUAUUGCACAAUGGGCGCAAGCCUGAUGCAGCCAUGCCGCGUGUAUGAAGAAGGCCUUCGGGUUGUAAAGUACUUUCAGCGGGGAGGAAGGCGUUGUGGUUAAUAACCACAGCGAUUGACGUUACCCGCAGAAGAAGCACCGGCUAACUCCGUGCCAGCAGCCGCGGUAAUACGGAGGGUGCAAGCGUUAAUCGGAAUUACUGGGCGUAAAGCGCACGCAGGCGGUCUGUCAAGUCGGAUGUGAAAUCCCCGGGCUCAACCUGGGAACUGCAUUCGAAACUGGCAGGCUAGAGUCUUGUAGAGGGGGGUAGAAUUCCAGGUGUAGCGGUGAAAUGCGUAGAGAUCUGGAGGAAUACCGGUGGCGAAGGCGGCCCCCUGGACAAAGACUGACGCUCAGGUGCGAAAGCGUGGGGAGCAAACAGGAUUAGAUACCCUGGUAGUCCACGCCGUAAACGAUGUCGACUUGGAGGUUGUGCCCUUGAGGCGUGGCUUCCGGAGCUAACGCGUUAAGUCGACCGCCUGGGGAGUACGGCCGCAAGGUUAAAACUCAAAUGAAUUGACGGGGGCCCGCACAAGCGGUGGAGCAUGUGGUUUAAUUCGAUGCAACGCGAAGAACCUUACCUACUCUUGACAUCCAGAGAACUUAGCAGAGAUGCUUUGGUGCCUUCGGGAACUCUGAGACAGGUGCUGCAUGGCUGUCGUCAGCUCGUGUUGUGAAAUGUUGGGUUAAGUCCCGCAACGAGCGCAACCCUUAUCCUUUGUUGCCAGCGGUUAGGCCGGGAACUCAAAGGAGACUGCCAGUGAUAAACUGGAGGAAGGUGGGGAUGACGUCAAGUCAUCAUGGCCCUUACGAGUAGGGCUACACACGUGCUACAAUGGCGCAUACAAAGAGAAGCGACCUCGCGAGAGCAAGCGGACCUCAUAAAGUGCGUCGUAGUCCGGAUUGGAGUCUGCAACUCGACUCCAUGAAGUCGGAAUCGCUAGUAAUCGUGGAUCAGAAUGCCACGGUGAAUACGUUCCCGGGCCUUGUACACACCGCCCGUCACACCAUGGGAGUGGGUUGCAAAAGAAGUAGGUAGCUUAACCUUCGGGAGGGCGCUUACCACUUUGUGAUUCAUGACUGGGGUGAAGUCGUAACAAGGUAACCGUAGGGGAACCUGCGGUUGGAUCACCUCCUUA
rnacentral:rRNA from 1 species